AUUGAACGCUGGCGGCAGGCCUAACAAAUGCAAGUCGAGCGGAGCGGCGGACGGGUGAGUAUUACCUAGGAAUCUGCCUGGUAGUGGGGGAUAACGUCCGGCAAUGGGCGCUAAUACCGCCUACUAUCCCUUGAACCCAUAUGGGAUGAGCUUGUAGGUGAGGUAACGGCUCACCUAGGCGACGUUCCCUCGCUGGUCUGCAGGGAUUAUCAGCCACACUGGGACUGAGACACGGUCCAGACUCCUACGGGAGGCAGCAGUGGGGAAUAUUGGACAAUGGGCAAAAGCCUGAUCCAGCCAUGCCGCGUGUGUGAAGAAGGUCUUCGGAUUGUAAAGCACUUUAAGUUGGGAGGCGUUACCAACAGAAUAAGCACCGGCUAACUUCGUGCCAGCAGCCGCGGUAAUUC
rnacentral:rRNA from 1 species